AACGAACGCUGGCGGCAGGCUUAACACAUGCAAGUCGAGCGCCCCGCAAGGGGAGCGGCAGACGGGUGAGUAACGCGUGGGAAUCUACCCAGCUCUACGGAACAACUCCGGGAAACUGGAGCUAAUACCGUAUACGUCCUUCGGGAGAAAGAUUUAUCGGAGUUGGAUGAGCCCGCGUUGGAUUAGCUAGUUGGUGGGGUAAUGGCCUACCAAGGCGACGAUCCAUAGCUGGUCUGAGAGGAUGAUCAGCCACACUGGGACUGAGACACGGCCCAGACUCCUACGGGAGGCAGCAGUGGGGAAUAUUGGACAAUGGGCGCAAGCCUGAUCCAGCCAUGCCGCGUGAGUGAUGAAGGCCUUAGGGUUGUAAAGCUCUUUCACCGAUGAAGAUAAUGACGGUAGUCGGAGAAGAAGCCCCGGCUAACUUCGUGCCAGCCGCCGCCGUAACAC
rnacentral:rRNA from 1 species